rnacentral:rRNA from 1 species
UGGGGAAUAUUGGACAAUGGGGGAAACCCUGAUCCAGCCAUGCCGCGUGAAUGAUGAAGGCCUUCGGGUUGUAAAGUUCUUUUGCAGGGGACGAUGAUGACGGUACCCUGAGAAUAAGCUCCGGCUAACUUCGUGCCAGCAGCCGCGGUAAUACGAAGGGAGCUAGCGUUGUUCGGAAUUACUGGGCGUAAAGGGCGCGUAGGCGGUUUGGCAAGUUGGAUGUGAAAGCCCUGGGCUCAACCCGGGAAUUGCAUUCAAGACUGCUAGACUCGAAUUCGGUAGAGGUUGGUGGAAUUCCCAGUGUAGAGGUGAAAUUCGUAGAGAUUGGGAAGAACACCCGUGGCGAAGGCGGCCAACUGGACCGACAUUGACGCUGAGGCGCGAAAGCGUGGGUAGCAAACAGGAUUAGAUACCCCCGUAGUCC